AGAUAUUAUCCUUGUUUUUUUUAUUUUUGUUAAGAGUUGCUUUGUGGCCUAAGAUAUGGUCUAUUUUAGAGAAGGAUCCAUGUGAACGAAGUGUAUUGACUCAUUGAUGGAUGAAAUCCUAUAGAUGUCUUUUAAGUCUAAGUUAUUAAUUGUAUUUUUUAGUUCCAUAGUUUAUUUAGUUUUUAUUUGCAGGAGCUAUCAAAUGGUAAGAGAGUUGUAUUCAAGAUACCCAGUAUUACUGUGUUGUGGUCUAUUUGAUUCUUGAAGUUGAGAAGGGUUUGUUUGAUGUACAUAGAUUCUUCAUUGUUUGGGUCAUAAAUAUUUACAAUUGUUAUGUCUUGUUAAUGUAUUAUUCCAUUAAGCAAUAUGAAAUGUCCUUUGUCCCUUCUAAUUAAGUUUGGCAUGAAGUCUACUUUAUCUGAUAUGACAAUGGAAACCCCUGCUUGUUUGUGAGCGCCGUGUGAAUAUGUUUUUCCUCAUGGUUUUACUGGAUAUCUUUGCCUAUGAAAUGAGUCUUUUGUAGACAGCAUAUUGUUGGGUCCAGUUUUUUCAUCCAAACUGGCCCAUUAUGUCUUUUGAUUGAUGAAUUUAGGCCACUUACAUUCAGUGUUAUUAUUGAGAGAUGAUUUUUAUUCCCUGUCAUUUUGAUUUAUUUCUG
rnacentral:lncRNA from 1 species